GAGACGUUGCCCUUCGGGGUAUACCUCCCACCCUUUGUUUAUACAUACCAUUGUUGCUUUGGCAGGCCCGGCUUCGGCCCACCGGCUCCGGCUGGUCCGCGUCUGCCAGAGGAAACCCAAACUCUGUUUGUUAAUAUUGUCUGAGUACUAUAUAAUAGUUAAAACUUUCAACAACGGAUCUCUUGGUUCU
rnacentral:misc_RNA from 1 species